GUAGGUGAGCCUGCGGAAGGAUCAUUAACACGUAUCCACGUAUCAAAACCCCUCUGUGCAAACCUCUUCGUAAGGCUUGAUUGGAGUUGUAUUCACUCGAUCUUAAUGAUGGGAGUCUCCUCUCUCGAGGGGGGACCCGGGAUCUAUGAGUGUUUACCGCGUUUGACAAUCGGGCCGCUAUUUUUCCAUCGUUAGCCCUUUCUAACUUUUAACCCCUUAUACUUUUUUGUACUGAACCAAUUCUUCGAGU
rnacentral:misc_RNA from 1 species